CAGCCACAUAGCACCAACCUGGACCCCCAACAGGACCAAGGAUCUACCCAGAGCCGGGCUCCUGAUGCUGGGUAUACACGUCUGCAGCAUGGUGGCGCUAACAUCUACGAUACAAUCACUCCCUCAGACAAUAAUGACAAUGAUGCUGCUGCUGCUACUGCUGGACCAA